ACCGGUAAGUUUGUUCUGGGUAUAAGCUUUCGUGUGCAUGCACACUUCUUCAGAUACAGAAGAUACAGAUACAAAAGUGUAUCUGAAGAAGUGUGCAUGCACACGAAAGCUUAUACCCAGAACAAACUUAGUUGG
rnacentral:miRNA from 1 species